rnacentral:rRNA from 1 species
CCUACGGGGGGCAGCAGUGAGGAAUAUUGGUCAAUGGCCGGAAGGCUGAACCAGCCAUGCCGCGUGAAGGUCAGUGCCCUAUGGGCGUUAAACUUCUUUUGUGCGGGAGCAAUAAUGGUCACGUGUGGCCAGACGAGAGUACCGUACGAAUAAGCAUCGGCUAACUCCGUGCCAGCAGCCGCGGUAAUACGGGGGGUGCAAGCGUUAUCCGGCGUUGUUGGGUUUAAAGGGUGCGUAGGCUGUGAGGUAAGUCAGCGGUGAAAUGCCCCCGCUCAACGGGGUGAAGUGCCAUUGAUACUGCCUUGCUUGAAUGCGGAUGCCGUGGGAGGAAUGUGUGGUGUAGCGGUGAAAUGCAUAGAUAUCACACAGAACACCGAUUGCGAAGGCAUCUCACGAAUCCGCGAUUGACGCUGAUGCACGAAAGCGUGGGUAUCAAACAGGAUUAGAUACCCGAGUAGUC